CGGGGGGAGCAAGCGUUGUUCGGAUUUACUGGGCGUAAAGGGCGCGUAGGCGGCGCAACAAGUCACUUGUGAAAUCUCCGGGCUUAACCCGGAGCGGCCAAGUGAUACUGUCGUGCUAGAGUGCGGAAGGGGCUACUGGAAUUCUCGGUGUAGCGGUGAAAUGCGUAGAUAUCGAGAGGAACACCUGCGGCGAAGGCGGGUAGCUGGGCCGACACUGACGCUGAUGCGCGAAAGCCAGGGGAGCGAACGGGAUUAGAUACCCCGGUAGUCCUGGCCUUAAACAAUGGAUACUUGGUGUCCGGGGUUACAUAGUCCCCGGGUGCCGGCGCUAACGCAUUAAGUAUCCCGCCUGGGGAGUACGGUCGCAAGACUG
rnacentral:rRNA from 1 species